UUGCGGAAGGGACAUUAUUGGAAUGAAAUAUCUAGCAAGGGGCUGUUGCUGGGCACUAGCCAUGUGCACGCCUUUUGUCUAUUUCUU
rnacentral:rRNA from 1 species